UGAUGCUGCUUGGCCUGCUGUGUUCAUCCAGCUCUGCACCUUGUUGUCUCGGAUUCUCCAGCAUCUGCAGUUCCUACUAUCUCUGAUUCGAUAGUGACCUCGAGGGAUUGUUAUCAAACUGCAUGUGAGCGAUCGCUUGGCAAAUGACAUCAGUAAUCCAACUCAAACUCAGACUAAAAUAUUCUUCUUCACACCCAGAACAUGCAACUACAAAUCAAAUUUAAACCUCUGCAUUGUUCUGAGUAUUUCAGAGGCCCAGUGCUGUGAGACAGACUCAGUUCGAAGCUGGAGGUUAUGUAUUAUCGGCUGUCUUACUGAAUACUCACCGUCCUCGUCAAUAUUGAUCUGGAGAAUCUUUGUGCUCAGAGUCGAGAAAUACAAAAUCUUUGCCCCGACAAGAAGCUGCAUCAUAACUGCCAUUGUAAAACAUUAAAUACCAUGAUGAGUUAUUCUGAAGCAGGAUGUAGUUUCAGUAAUACAUCUACGUUAUAUUUAUGGAACGUGAAAAACUGGAUAUUUCUGGAUCGAAGCAGGGCACCAAAAUAACCCGGGCUCCUGGGAACAAACUGGCCACAGACAGACAGUGCUGGUUCUGACUGAUCUGCUGUUCUUGGGUGUAUGUCCAUUCCUAAAGAAGAUAAAAAAACAGCUACUGUCGGUCCCUGUUGAGGUUGGAAUCUGGAGUUAGUAUUGACAGCAGAGUGACUCUGUGAUCUGGUGAGUGUCUCUCCAUUCAGCCCCCAGCUGCUGAAGACCAGAAGAUGGAGGGCUUGGCCAGGUUGCCUGAUAUCAUCAGCCAGACUUUCAGUGGAGUCUGAUAAAUGAUGUUGAAUGGGACUGGUCCCAUUUCCAUUUCCAUUUCCAUUUCGAGCAGACCCCAUGUCAGCUGGUGGAGAGAAGGGGUCAGGCUGUGAAACAAUCCAGCAGAAAACCCAGUUUCUGCAGGCUCAUUCAUAACUGAUGCUGAGUUCAAAUCUCCAUCAGUUUCAUUAUUUCAAUGGCCUUAAACUACAGGGUCAAUAAAGUCUGCUUAAGUCUGCAGUUUUUCAAAUC